rnacentral:rRNA from 1 species
CACCACAACAGGUGGAGCCUGCGGUUUAAUCGGACUCAACGCCGGGAAACUCACCAGAUAAGACAGCUGAAUGAUAGUCGGGCUGAAGACUCUACUUGACUAGCUGAGAGGAGGUGCAUGGCCGUCGUCAGUUCGUACUGUGAAGCAUCCUGUUAAGUCAGGCAACGAGCGAGACCCACGUCCACAGUUGCCAGCAUACCCUCCGGGGUGAUGGGUACACUGUGGAGACCGCCGCUGCUAAAGCGGAGGAAGGAAUGGGCAACGGUAGGUCAGUAUGCCCCGAAUCUCCCGGGCUACACGCGGGCUACAAUGGUUGGUACAAUGGGCAUCUACCCCGAAAGGGGAAGGAAAUCUCUUAAAGCCAAUCGUAGUUCGGAUUGAGGGCUGCAACUCGCCCUCAUGAAGCUGGAAUCCGUAGUAAUCGCGUUUCAACAGAACGCGGUGAAUACGUCCCUGCUCCUU